rnacentral:rRNA from 1 species
GACGAACGCUGGCGGCGUGCUUAACACAUGCAAGUCGAACGGAAAGGCCCUGCUUUUGUGGGGUGCUCGAGUGGCGAACGGGUGAGUAACACGUGAGUAACCUGCCCUUGACUUUGGGAUAACUUCAGGAAACUGGGGCUAAUACCGGAUAGGAGCUCCUGCUGCAUGGUGGGGGUUGGAAAGUUUCGGCGGUUGGGGAUGGACUCGCGGCUUAUCAACUUGUUGGUGGGGUAGUGGCUUACCAAGGCUUUGACGGGUAGCCGGCCUGAGAGGGUGACCGGCCACAUUGGGACUGAGAUACGGCCCAGACUCCUACGGGAGGCAGCAGUGGGGAAUAUUGCACAAUGGGCGGAAGCCUGAUGCAGCAACGCCGCGUGCGGGAUGACGGCCUUCGGGUUGUAAACCGCUUUCGCCUGUGACGAAGCGUGAGUGACGGUAACGGGUAAAGAAGCACCGGCUAACUACGUG